rnacentral:rRNA from 1 species
AGGACGAACGCUGGCGGCGUGCUUAACACAUGCAAGUCGAGCGGAAAGGCCCUUCGGGGUACUCGAGCGGCGAACGGGUGAGUAACACGUGAGCAAUCUGCCCUUAGCUUCGGGAUAGCCCCGGGAAACCGGGAUUAAUACCGAAUACGACCUCGGCCGACAUCGGCUUUGGUGGAAAGUUUUUCGGCUAGGGAUGAACUCGCGGCCUAUCAGCUUGUUGGUGGGGUAAUGGCCUACCAAGGCGACGACGGGUAGCCGGCCUGAGAGGGCGACCGGCCACACUGGGACUGAGACACGGCCCAGACUCCUACGGGAGGCAGCAGUGGGGAAUAUUGCGCAAUGGGCGAAAGCCUGACGCAGCGACGCCGCGUGGGGGAUGAAGGCCUUCGGGUUGUAACCCCUUUCAGCAGGGACGAAGCGAGAGUGACGGUACUGCAGAAGAAGCGCCGGCUAACUACGUGCCAGCAGCCGC